GGAGACGUGCCAGAGCGGCCGAAUGGACUUCACUGCUAAUGAAGGGCUCGCAUUAACCCGGGUGGGGUUCAAACUCCCGUCCCGCCUGCA
rnacentral:tRNA from 1 species